GCCUAAUAGUAACACAGUAAUAAAGCACUAAUUACUCGCCAAACCACUACGAGUGAAAACUUAAAACUUAAAAGACUUGACGGUACCUCAGACCCAGCCUAGAGGAGCCUGUCUAAUAACCGAUAAUCCACGUUCAACCCAACCCGCUUUAGCCAACCAGUCUAUAUACCGCCGUCGCCAGCCCACCUUAUGAAAGAAACAAAGUGCGCCCAAUAGUCCAACACUAACACGACAGGUCGAGGUGUAACUUAUAAGCAGGGACAGAUGGGCUACAUUUUCUCUAACAGAACAAACGAACAAGAAUAUGAAACCACCUUUAAAGGCGGAUUUAGCAGUAAGCCACGGCUCACAUUUCCCGACUGAAACUAAUGCAAUGAGGUGCGUACACACCGCCCGUCAUCCCUGCAAAAUUAAUUAACCAUAAAUAAACCCACUAACCACCUAUAAACCAGGGCAAGUCGUAACAUGGUAAGCGUACUGGAAAGUGCGCUUAGAAA
rnacentral:rRNA from 1 species